rnacentral:rRNA from 1 species
GAUUUCUGGCUUGAAACAUUUUGCCGGCCACGGUUUCGUGUGUUAGUGCUUGAUGUUCUGGCCAUCCUUCCAAUUGCUAUUCACUUCUCUUCAUUGAUUGGUGAGUGGUAUUGGAUCUUUUACUUUGAAAAAAUUAGAGUGUUUCAAGCAGGCUUUAUGCUAUGAAUACAUUAGCAUGGAAUAAUAACUUAGGACUUUGGCUUAGAGUUUUAUUUGGUAUUUUGUGGGCUAAAGUAAUGAUUGAUAGGGACAGUUGGGGGUGCUAGUAUUCAGCGGCCAGAGGUGAAAUUCUUGGAUUCGCUGAAGACUAACUUAUGCGAAAGCAUU